rnacentral:rRNA from 1 species
AACGAACGCUGGCGGCAGGCCUAACACAUGCAAGUCGAGCGCCCCGCAAGGGGAGCGGCGGACGGGUGAGUAACGCGUGGGAACGUAUCCUUUGCUACGGAAUAGCCUCGGGAAACUGGGAGUAAUACCGUAUGUGUCCUUCGGGAGAAAGAUUUAUCGGCAAGGGGUCGGCCCGCGUUGGAUUAGGUCGUUGGUGGGGUAAUGGCCUACCAAGCCGACGAUCCAUAGCUGGUGUGAGAGGAUGAUCAGCCACACUGGGACUGGGACACGGCGCAGACUCCUACGGGAGGCAGCAGUGGGGAAUCUUAGACAAUCGGCGCAAGCCUGAUCUAGCCAUGCCGCGUGAGCGAUGAAGGCCUUAGGGUUGUAAAGCUCUUUCAGGGGGGAAGAUAAUGACGGUACCCCCAGAAGAAGCCCCGGCUAACUCCGUG